rnacentral:rRNA from 1 species
AUUGAACGCUAGCGGGAUGCCUUACACAUGCAAGUCGAACGGCAGCGCGGACGUCGGUCUGGCGGCGAGUGGCGAACGGGUGAGUAAUGUAUCGGAACGUGCCCAGUAGCGGGGGAUAACUACUCGAAAGAGUAGCUAAUACCGCAUACGCCCUACGGGGGAAAGGGGGGGAUCGCAAGACCUCUCACUAUUGGAGCGGCCGAUAUCGGAUUAGCUAGUUGGUGAGGUAAAGGCUCACCAAGGCGACGAUCCGUAGCUGGUUUGAGAGGACGACCAGCCACACGGGGACUGAGACACGGCCCAGACUCCUACGGGAGGCAGCAGUGGGGAAUUUUGGACAAUGGGGGAAACCCUGAUCCAGCCAUUCCGCGUGUGCGAUGAAGGCCUUCGGGUUGUAAAGCACUUUUGGCAGGAAAGAAAUCGCAUCAAUUAAUACUUGGUGUGGAUGACGGUACCUGCAGAAUAAGCACCGGCUAACUACGUGCCAGCCGCCGCGGUAA